rnacentral:miRNA from 1 species
AGGAGGUCAAGUUAAAUUUGAUUUUUAGGUUAACAAUAAGUAUUUUUUUUAGUUUAAGUAUGUCCCAUACAAUAUUUGGGACAUAUUUAUACUAAAAAAUAUUUAUUGUUUAUCUGAAAUUCAAAUUUAAUGAGGUGUUCUGUA